rnacentral:lncRNA from 1 species
AAAAGACUUAAAUAAUUUAGGAUUCUUACAGUCUCAGAGAAGAGAGAAAAAUAGAAACUUUUAACAAACAUUAGGUCAAGAACACAUAUUAUGACAGCUAUUAAAAAAAGUAAAAUCAUGUACAAAUAAUAACCUAAUAGAGGAUGAAAGUGGGUAAUGAAAAAUUAAUCCAGGCAAAGAAAAGAGAGAGAGAGAAGAGGAAGAGAAAGAAAGAAAGAAAGAAAAGAAAAGAAAAGAAAGGUAAGGGAAGAAAGAAGCACUGUGAAAGCCAAGUAAAUAGUCUGAGGACCACCAAUUUCUACACUUGCUCUAUUCUACCUACCACUUGCACUGACAUAGAAAUUUAUAUGAAGAGAGGAAAUGUGACUGGUCAGGAUCAAGGAAAUAGACAGAAUCCAGGUGGUUUUACUCCCAUGGCUCUCCUCUUCUUAGUACAUCUUCAUAGCAUUGCUAGGCAUAUAACUAUAAUCUCAUCCACACAAGCAUUUUCUUACGGUUCUUUAAAAUGUGUCUCCUGGAAAUAUAGCGCAUUGACAGAGUAA